rnacentral:rRNA from 1 species
GAAAAGCCCCCCGGCCCAACCGGGGAGGGUCAUUGGAAACUGGGGAACUUGAGUGCACAAGAGGAGAGUGGAAUUCCACGUGUAGCGGUGAAAUGCGUAGAGAUGUGGAGGAACACCAGUGGCGAAGGCGACUCUCUGGUCUGUAACUGACGCUGAGGAGCGAAAGCGUGGGGAGCGAACAGGAUUAGAUACCCUGGUAGUCCACGCCGUAAACGAUGAGUGCUAAGUGUUAGGGGGUUUCCGCCCCUUAGUGCUGCAGCUAACGCAUUAAGCACUCCGCCUGGGGAGUACGGUCGCAAGACUGAAACUCAAAGGAAUUGACGGGGGCCCGCACAAGCGGUGGAGCAUGUGGUUUAAUUCGAAGCAACGCGAAGAACCUUACCAGGUCUUGACAUCCUCUGACAAUCCUAGAGAUAGGACGUCCCCUUCGGGGGCAGAGUGACAGGUGGUGCAUGGUUGUCGUCAGCUCGUGUCGUGAGAUGUUGGGUUAAGUCCCGCAACGAGCGCAACCCUUGAUCUUAGUUGCCAGCAUUCAGUUGGGCACUCUAAGGUGACUGCCGGUGACAAACCGG